rnacentral:rRNA from 1 species
UGCCAGCCGCCGCGGUAAUACGGAGGGUGCAAGCGUUGUUCGGAAUUAUUGGGCGUAAAGCGCGUGUAGGCGGUUCGUUAAGUCUGAUGUGAAAGCCCGGGGCUCAACCCCGGAAGUGCAUUGGAAACUGGCGAACUUGAGUACAAAAGAGGAAAAUGGAAUUCCGAGUGUAGGGGUGAAAUCCGUAGAUAUUCGAAGGAACACCAGUGGCGAAGGCGGCUUUCUGGACCGAUACUGACGCUGAGACGCGAAAGCAUGAAAAACAAACAGGAUUAGAUA